rnacentral:rRNA from 1 species
CCUACGGGUGGCAGCAGUCGAGAAUCAUUCACAAUGGGGGAAACCCUGAUGCUGCGACGCCGCGUGGGGGAAUGCAGGUCUUCGGAUUGUAAACCCCUUUCAUGUGGGAGCAAAUCAAAAAGAUAGUACCACAAGAGGAAGAGACUGCUAAAUCUGUGCCAGCAGCCGCGGUAAUACAGAGGUCUCAAGCGUUGUUCGGAAUCACUGGGCGUAAAGGGUGCGUAGGCGGGUUCGUAAGUCGUGUGUGAAAGGCGCGGGCUAAACCCGCGGACGGCACUUGAGACUGUGAGACUCGAGUACUGGAGGGGUAACCGGAAUUCGCGGUGUAGCGGUGAAAUGCGUAGAUA